rnacentral:rRNA from 1 species
GGUUAAGUUAGAAAGGGCGCACGGUGGAUGCCUUGGCACUAGGAGCCGAUGAAGGACGGGACGAACACCGAUAUGCUUCGGGGAGCUGUAAGCAAGCUUUGAUCCGGAGAUUUCCGAAUGGGGAAACCCACCACUCGUAAUGGAGUGGUAUCCAUAUCUGAAUACAUAGGAUAUGAGAAGGCAGACCCGGGGAACUGAAACAUCUAAGUACCCGGAGGAAGAGAAAGCAAAUGCGAUUCCCUGAGUAGCGGCGAGCGAAACGGGACCAGCCCAAACCAAGAGGCUUGCCUCUUGGGGUUGUAGGACACUCUGUACGGAGUUACAAAGGAACGAGGUAGAUGAAGAGGUCUGGAAAGGCCCGCCAUAGAAGGUAACAGCCCUGUAGUCAAAACUUCGUUCUCUCCUGAGUGGAUCCUGAGUACGGCGGAACACGUGAAAUUCCGUCGGAAUCCGGGAGGACCAUCUCCCAAGGCUAAAUACUCCCUAGUGACCGAUAGUGAACCAGUACCGUGAGGGAAAGGUGAAAAGCACCCCGGAAGGGGAGUGAAAGAGAUCCUGAAACCGUGUGCCUACAAGUAGUCAGAGCCCGUUAACGGGUGAUGGCGUGCCUUUUGUAGAAUGAACCGGCGAGUUACGAUCCCGUGCAAGGUUAAGCAGAAGAUGCGGAGCCGCAGCGAAAGCGAGUCUGAAUAGGGCGAAUUGAGUACGUGGUCGUAGACCCGAAACCAGGUGAUCUACCCAUGUCCAGGGUGAAGUUCAGGUAACACUGAAUGGAGGCCCGAACCCACGCACGUUGAAAAGUGCGGGGAUGAGGUGUGGGUAGGGGUGAAAUGCCAAUCGAACCUGGAGAUAGCUGGUUCUCUCCGAAAUAGCUUUAGGGCUAGCCUCAAGGUAAGAGUCUCGGAGGUAGAGCACUGAUUGGACUAGGGGCCCCUACCGGGUUACCGAAUUCAGUCAAACUCCGAAUGCCGAUGACUUAUCCUUGGGAGUCAGACUGCGAGUGAUAAGAUCCGUAGUCGAAAGGGAAACAGCCCAGACCGCCAGCUAAGGUCCCAAAGUAUACGUUAAGUGGAAAAGGAUGUGGAGUUGCUUAGACAACCAGGAUGUUGGCUUAGAAGCAGCCACCAUUUAAAAGUGCGUAAUAGCUCACUGGUCGGGUGACUCGGCGCCGGACCUGUCCCGGGGCUAAACGUAUCACCGAAAGUCGCGGACUGUUCUUCGAACAGUGGUAGGAGAGCGUUCUAAGGGCUGUGAAGCAAGACCGGAAGGACUUGUGGAGCGCUUAGAAGUGAGAAUGCCGGUAUGAGUAGCGAAAGAGGGGUGAGAAUCCCCUCCACCGAAUGCCUAAGGUUUCCUGAGGAAGGCUCGUCCGCUCAGGGUUAGUCGGGACCUAAGCCGAGGCCGAAAGGCGUAGGCGAUGGAUAACAGGUUGAUAUUCCUGUACCACCUCCUCACCAUUUGAGCAAUGGGGGGACGCAGGAGGAUAGGGUAAGCGCGGUAUUGGAUAUCCGCGUCCAAGCAGUUAGGCUGGGAAAUAGGCAAAUCCGUUUCCCGUGAAGGCUGAGCUGUGAUGGCGAGCGAAUUAUAGUAGCGAAGUUCCUGAUUCCACACUGCCAAGAAAAGCCUCUAGCGAGGUGAGAGGUGCCCGUACCGCAAACCGACACAGGUAGGCGAGGAGAGAAUCCUAAGGUGAUCGAGAGAACUCUCGUUAAGGAACUCGGCAAAAUGACCCCGUAACUUCGGGAGAAGGGGUGCUCUGUUAGGGUGCAAGCCCGAGAGAGCCGCAGUGAAUAGGCCCAGGCGACUGUUUAGCAAAAACACAGGUCUCUGCGAAGCCGUAAGGCGAAGUAUAGGGGCUGACGCCUGCCCGGUGCUGGAAGGUUAAGAGGAGCGCUUAGCGUAAGCGAAGGUGCGAAUUGAAGCCCCAGUAAACGGCGGCCGUAACUAUAACGGUCCUAAGGUAGCGAAAUUCCUUGUCGGGUAAGUUCCGACCCGCACGAAAGGCGCAACGAUCUGGGCACUGUCUCAACGAGAGACUCGGUGAAAUUAUAGUACCUGUGAAGAUGCAGGUUACCCGCGACAGGACGGAAAGACCCCGUGGAGCUUUACUGCAGCCUGAUAUUGAAUGUUGGUACAGCUUGUACAGGAUAGGUAGGAGCCUUGGAAACCGGAGCGCCAGCUUCGGUGGAGGCAUCGGUGGGAUACUACCCUGGCUGUAUUGACCUUCUAACCCGCCGCCCUUAUCGGGCGGGGAGACAGUGUCAGGUGGGCAGUUUGACUGGGGCGGUCGCCUCCUAAAAGGUAACGGAGGCGCCCAAAGGUUCCCUCAGAAUGGUUGGAAAUCAUUCGCAGAGUGUAAAGGCACAAGGGAGCUUGACUGCGAGACCUACAAGUCGAGCAGGGACGAAAGUCGGGCUUAGUGAUCCGGUGGUUCCGCAUGGAAGGGCCAUCGCUCAACGGAUAAAAGCUACCCCGGGGAUAACAGGCUUAUCUCCCCCAAGAGUCCACAUCGACGGGGAGGUUUGGCACCUCGAUGUCGGCUCAUCGCAUCCUGGGGCUGUAGUCGGUCCCAAGGGUUGGGCUGUUCGCCCAUUAAAGCGGUACGCGAGCUGGGUUCAGAACGUCGUGAGACAGUUCGGUCCCUAUCCGUCGCGGGCGCAGGAAAUUUGAGAGGAGCUGUCCUUAGUACGAGAGGACCGGGAUGGACGCACCGCUGGUGUACCAGUUGUUCUGCCAAGGGCAUCGCUGGGUAGCUAUGUGCGGACGGGAUAAGUGCUGAAAGCAUCUAAGCAUGAAGCCCCCCUCAAGAUGAGAUUUCCCAUUCCGCAAGGAAGUAAGAUCCCUGAAAGAUGAUCAGGUUGAUAGGUCUGAGGUGGAAGUGUGGCGACACAUGGAGCUGACAGAUACUAAUCGAUCGAGGACUUAACCAA